AUGGAUUUUUGGUCCCGUAAUUCCCGAUCCCGGGAGCCGACGGCCAUGAUAAAGUGUGGGUGGAACCGGGACCAAGCACACCUUUCCGAUCUUGAAGCUUUGCCAGCCAUGGCGGACACCGGCCAACGGUCCGUCGCCGCCUUCCUGAGGGACGGUACCUUUCUCCCGGCGCGUAGAUGCCGCCUGUUCCUGGAGCUCUUCACACUGUCCGUCGUCCUCUCCGUGGCGCUCUACCUCUUCAAGUGCCUCGCUCUCGCGGGCGCCGCAGCAGAUGCAGAUCUCGAGUCCUACUUUCUCAGCCCGCACGACAUGGACAUCGCCGGGGUCUCACACUUCAUCGCAACCUGGCGGCCGAGCGAUUACCACCGGUUGCUCGCACCGGCGCACCUCGUCGCCGGCAUCGCCGUCGGAUCAGCGACCUACAUCGCCGCCGUCAUGGCACGCUCCGAUUCCGGCGGCGAGCAGCAGAAGCACCACACCUGCCCUCCUUCCUGCGCAAGGUGA
rnacentral:rRNA from 1 species